UCUUCUAGAAGAGCAGAACAAGAGUUUUUAACCACUGUGUACUUCAAAUUUUUUUUUUUUUUUUUCUUGAGACAGGUCAGUCUCAAGACUGGUCUUGAACUCACUGUGUAGUCCAGGUUAACCUCAAAGUGGGGGUAAUCCCCCUGUCUUCAACUCCCAAGUACUGAAUUAUAAGUAUUAGUUACCACACUCAGCUUGAAAUAAACUUUUGUUGAGAGUCAACACAUUAUAUACCAUGGAAAGGGUUUUCAGAUAGUAUAUGAGCUUUUGUAAUUCAUCUUUCUGAAGUUUUUCCACUGUGAAGGCUCAUUUUCAAGCUGCUGGUCUGCUUUGGCUUCUGUUAGUCUUUAUUCCUCUCUCUACCCCAGCUCCCCACCACAAUACAGAGCCUUGGACUCUGCCUUCCUCCACUCACCACUUCCCCAGUAGUUUUUGCCAAACAUCCCCUCCUUUGGCUAAAGCCUUCAAGUUCAGACCUCAGACUCUGCAUUCCACCUCUAGACACUGCUUUAAUGGGAGUGGGGCCUAAGAGAGGGAAAAAAGGCAGCAGGCCAGGGCUGAGUUGGGGAAGGGCGAGAGCUAGCCAGGCAGGGUGCAAGCUAUGAAGAAAAGGAGAGCUCCAGGUUCAAUGGGAAGGUGAAAGCUGACUGCCCACACUAACCUCUCCCUGCUUGAUGUUAGACCUUACCCCUUCUCUGUGCUGCGCUCUGGAGCAAGAGAGAGGGCUCAGAAGGAACCAGGCAACAGUUCUGACCUGUAUGUUGCCGAUGUUUAGAUGGUAGCUCAUGCCUGUAAUCCCAGGACUGGGGAGGCUGAAGCAGGAUUAGCACAAGCUUGAGGGAAGCCGGGGUUUGUUAACCAGCUAUGAAGAAUAAACACAGAAGUCCAAAACCAGUCAUGGUAGCUCAUGCUUGUAAUCUCAGCUUUAAGGAGGCUGUGGCAGGGGGAUAGCCAUUAGUUUCAAGGCCAACUUGGCCUAUAUAUUAAGACCCUGUCUCAAAAGAACCAAAUCAAAUUUAAAAAAGAAAACAAAAACAAACCCGUCAGGGAACCCAGCCCCUCUCUCCUCAGGUCUGAUCUGAGCCACUAGUCUAUCUGGCCUAUAGUCUACUUGUUACUUUAAUGGACCUCUCAUAGUCUACCCUUAUUUCCUACAGUCCAUUCUCAACACAGUGACCACUGUGAACCUUUUAAAUAAAUGUAAAAAAACAUUCAGCUAAAACCCAAAUCAGUUUGUGUUUAACACCUCACUUUACUUUCUCAUUUCACUCAGCAUAAAAGCUCAGGUUCUGACUUAGAUCUUUCAUGACUUGCCCCACAUUUGCCCCCAGCUCAACUUUUUUCUUUUUCCCCCCAUCACUUAAUAUUUAUAUAGUUAAAGGUUAAUAGUUUGUAGAGGUUUCCCUCCUCCUAGAAUGUAUAUGCUCUCCAAGUAUAGGAAUCUCUUCCCUGUUGUAUCCAAAGCACCAGACUGAUAUAUACUAGUAAUGUUUGUUGAAUGAAUGAAGAUACAAUCUUUGCAAACACUGUCUUUAGAAUGUUCUCCAAGAAGUCAGUAACCAUGACUAUCUACAGGGACCUGGGGGCUUGGGAGAAUAGGAUGUACAAAACCUUUUGCUAACUCACUCCUUGAAGCAGCUGCGCUCCGGCGACUUGGAAUCUUGCUGGGUCUCUGCGCGCAUGCACGGACAUGGCUUCAAAUGACUAUACCCAACAAUCAACUCAAACAUGUGGGGCCUACCCUACCCAGCCUGGGCAGGGUUACUCCCAACAGAGCAAUCAGCCCUAUGGACAGCAGAGUUACAGUGGAUAUGGCCAGAGCAGCUAUGGGUCUUAUCUACAGACCUAGAACACAGGCUGUGGCACUCAGUCGACUCCCCAGGGAUAUGGUUCCACUAGAGGCUAUGGCAGUAGCCAGAGUUCCCAAUCUUCUUAUGGACAACAGUCCUCCUAUCCUGGCUAUGGCCAGCAACCAGCUCCUAGCAGCACUUCAGGAAGUUACGGUGGCAGCUCUCAGAGCAGCAGCUAUGGGCAGCCCCAGGGUGGAGGCUAUGGCCAACAGUCGGGCUGUGGUGGACAGCAACAGCACUACAGACAGCAACAGAGCUCCUAUAAUCCUCCUCAGGGCUAUGGACAGCAGAACCAGUAUAACAGUAGCAGUGGAGGUGGUGGAAGGGGUGGAGGCAAUUAUGGCCAAGAUCAGUCCUCCAUGAGUGGUGGUGGCAGUGGUGGUUAUGGCAAUCAGGACCAGAGUGGUGGCGGCGGUGGUGGCUACUGGGGGAGGCCAGCAGGACCGUGGGGGCCAUGGCAGGGACGGUGGACGUGGUUACAAUUGCAGCGGUGGUGGCUAUGAACCCAGAGGUCAUGGAGGUGGCCGUGGAGGCACAGGUGGCAUGGGUGGAAGUGACCGUGGUGGCUUCAAUAAAUUUGGUGACCCUCGGGAUCAAGGAUCACGUCAUGAUUCUGAGCAGGAUAAUUCAGAUAACAAUACCAUCUUUGUACAAGGCCUGGGCAAAAAUGUUACAAUAGAAUCUGUGGCUUAUUACUUCAAGCAGAUUGGAAUUAUCAAGACAAAUAAGAAAACCGGAGAGCCCAUGAUUAAUUUGUACACGGACAGGGAAACUGGCAAGCUGAAGGCUGAAGCAACAGUCUCAUUUGAUGACCCACCUUCUGCUAAAGCAGCUAUUGACUGGUUUGACGGUAUUUUCUGGGAAUCCUAUCAAGGUCUCAUUUGCUACAUGCUGAGCAGACUUCAAUCGGGGUGGUGGAAAUGGUCAUGGAGGCCGAGGGUGAGGAGGACCCGUGGGCCGUGGAGGCUACAGAGGAGGAAUGGUGGCGGCAGCCAUGGAGGAUUCCCCAGUAGAAGAGGUGGUGGUGGCGGACAACAGCGAGCUGGGGACUGGAAGUGUCCUAAUCCGACAUGUGAGAACAUGAACUUCUCUUGGAGAAAUGAAUGCAACCAGUGUAAGGCCCCUAAACCAGAUGGCCCAGGAGGCUUUCAUAUGGGGGUUAACUAUGGAGAUGAUCGACGUGGCAGAGGAGAUGAUGGGGUGGCUACCGAGGCCAAGGCAGGGACUUCCGAGGGGGCUGGGGAGGUGGGGACAGAAGUAGCUUUGGCCCUGGCAAGAUGGACUCAAGGAGUGAGCACAGACAGGAUCUCAGGGAGAGGCCGUAUUAGUCUGGCUCCUGAAAUUCUGGAACACCUUUUCUUCCUAUAUUUAGUGUUAUCCUUGUUAUUUUGUAAUCUUCCAAUUCCUGAUUGCCCAUGGAUUUUUUUUGUGUGUGUCAGAUUACAGUAAUUGUAACCAUACCUCUGGUUUCCAUU